rnacentral:rRNA from 1 species
CGGCGAAACUGCGAAUGGCUCAUUAAAUCAGUUAUCGUUUAUUUGAUUGUACCUUACUACUUGGAUAACCGUGGUAAUUCUAGAGCUAAUACAUGCUAAAAAUCCCGACUCACGGAGGGAUGUAUUUAUUAGAUUAAAAACCAAUGCCCCUCGGGGCUUUCUGGUGAUUCAUAAUAACUUCUCGAAUCGCAUGGCCUUGCGCCGGCGAUGGUUCAUUCAAAUUUCUGCCCUAUCAACUUUCGAUGGCAGGGUCUUGGCCUGCCAUGGUUACAACGGGUAACGGAGGGUUAGGGCUCGACCCCGGAGAAGGAGCCUGAGAAACGGCUACUACAUCCAAGGAAGGCAGCAGGCGCGCAAAUUACCCAAUCCCGACACGGGGAGGUAGUGACAAUAAAUACUGAUACAGGGCUCUUUUGGGUCUUGUAAUUGGAAUGAGUCAAUUUAAAUCCCUUAACGAGGAACAAUUGGAGGGCAAGUCUGGUGCCAGCAGCCGCGGUAAUUUCAGCUCCAAUAGCGUAUAUUAAAGUUGGUGCAGGUAAAAGCUCGUAGUUGAACCUUGGGCCUGCUGGCCGGUCCGCUCAACGCGUGCACUGGUUCGGCCGGGCCUUUUCCUCUGGGGAGGCCUAUGCCCUUCACUGGGUGGUAGGGAACCAGGACUUUUACUGUGAAAAAAUUAGAGUGUUCAAAGCAGGCCUAUGCUCGAAUACAUCAGCAUGGAAUAAUAGAAUAGGACGUGUGGUUCUAUUUUGUUGGUUUCUAGGACCGCCGUAAUGAUUAAUAGGGACAGUCGGGGGCAUCAGUAUUCAAUUGUCAGAGGUGAAAUUCUUGGAUUUAUUGAAGACUAACUACUGCGAAAGCAUUUGCCAAGGAUGUUUUCAUUAAUCAGGAACGAAAGUUAGGGGAUCGAAGACGAUCAGAUACCGUCGUAGUCUUAACCAUAAACUAUGCCGACUAGGGAUCGGACGAUGUUAUUUUUUGACUCGUUCGGCACCUUACGAGAAAUCAAAGUC